AUGUCCAGAUAUGGGAGACGUCGCCACUUAGCCAUUGGUUUGAACAAUUCCCAUGUCCAAAUAUGGGAUGUCUCCCUUGCUAAAAAGCUAAGGAUAUUAAAGGGGGGACAUACAAGAGGAGUUGGUUCCUUGGCUUGGAACAGUCAUAUUCUGACAACAGGGGCAAUUGAUGGGAGUGGUGGAAACGAUAAUGUUGUCUACAUAUGGGAUAGGUCGGUGGCUUCUUCAAAUUCACCUAUUCGCUGCCUUCCCCACCAACAGACAAAGCAGCAUCAAAUCCACCGUUUGCAAAUUUCAACCUUAUCCAAUAAAGAAAUACACUUCUAA